UGGCUUCUCUAGGGUAAUAAAGUUUGGAACAGAUUUAUCAUUUUACUCAGCAUCUUAACCUAAAUUUUCCUCUUUAGUUUUGUUUUCUCUUUUAAUAUUUGAACAGAUUGCUGAGGAGGCCAUUACACCCAUAGGAUGAACUCUCUUUUAGAUGUCAAUUCAAAGUUGGAAUACUGGUUCUAAAUUGGAUGCAGCGGCAUAAUCAAGCACUAUAUAGCUUGGGAUCAACUGAAAACCCUGGUCUCCCAUCGGCGGCCACGAGGUAAAACGAUUUGGAAGGCAGUACGCAUUACAGCAGUUCAAUCUCUUUGCCAAAGUAUGCUCAAGUGUCGAGAAUUCCGGAACUAGCAGAAAAUUGCCAUUACAUCUCAGGUCUCUUUCCUCAUGGUAAAGACUGCUGAGGAGGCCAUUACACCUAGAACGCAAAUACUCUACCCCGAUUUGGUGCCCGGUUCCUACCCCAAUCCCAAAAUUAUGUUAACUGUCCAAAUUAUUAAAAUCCCAAAUGGACAAACCACUCAUCACGACAAGGUUCGACCCGACUCCAGCGACUUAACAAGAGAUGGGCAACCCAUCAAAUUGCCCCAGAAUGGAUGUUAGCUUACACCAGUCGCCAAUGUUUUGCUUGUAAAGCACUAGGCGAUAAAUUGGUAUGGCCUGGUUUUUCAGGCCGAAAUUUCUAUUCAGGUUCGCUCGGGUUUGGUGGUGGGAUGAAAGAGUGGAAGAAGGAUGAAAAAAUAAUUCUCUGUUUACUAACAGAGAGUGAAAAAUGUUUUAAUAUGCUGAGUUUUGUGGUUUUUCUUCUCAUUUUCAUUUAUUCUUAAGGGUUUUGCCUUCAACUAUUUGUUGUUUGCUAUAUAUGAUGAUACUCUUGAAAAAUAAUAAAAAUAAACCAGACACGCUUGAAAUUAUUUUGCUAAUAGCGUCAUCCUAUGUGCAAUCCAACAUGUUUUUAUUUUGCAUUCAACUAGAUUUGUUCUUGGGAUGGUGUUGGUUGCCCAUUAUCUCCGAGGAAGUGUAAUGAUAGAGAGAAGGGCAGAGGAUUUUUUGAUUUGAUUGUACAGAUAAUAUGAAAAUUGGUUUUGAUAGGGUAUUGGUAUAGUUUUCCUUGGAUUUUUUUAACACUAGGGAGCUGCUUUCUCAAGGAAGUUCCGCAUGAAAGAUGUUGCUAUGUUGCUUGAGAUUUUGGUCACAUUGAGAACUUGUUUGAUUGUAAUUCUGAUUAAGUGAGAGUCCCAAUUAUUCUUUGUAGAGGGUUCUUCUGGUAGAAAUAGAUGACAUGUUGCAAUGCUAUCACUGGAACUCUGCCUUGAAACGUUGGAUGGUUGUGUGUGGGGUAACUUUAUGGUCUCUUUGGUUGGCUAGGAAUGAAUCUGUAUUUAAUAGAAAAGUUUGGGAUGGUAAGGAAAUUUUCUUCCUUAUUCGUAUGAGAUCUACCUUCUGGUUGCGGGCAUGUGACGGUAUGGAAUCGGUGGAUGAAAUUGGAUGGUGGACUGAACCAUGGGAAGUUUCUUCGCACCCCUUUCCACAGUUGCCUUAACAUUCAUUAGUGCCCUCCGCCAGAGGGGACUUUGAAAUUUAAUGUUGACGGUUCUGCCAGAAGAAAACCAAGGCCUGCAGGAUGUGGAGGGGCUCUUCGAAACUCAGAGGGAUUUCUUGUUGGGGUGUUCUUUGGUCCUCUUGGAGUUCAAGAUUCUAAUUUUGCCGAAAUCAUGGCAAUCAAGCAUGCUCUCCACCUCUUUUCUUUUUCCCCUUAUGCAACCACAAACAAGCUUCUCAUUGAGUUCGAUUCUAAAAUUGCCCUUUCCUGGAUUCUCCAUCCCAGCAAGAGACCUUGGGAUAAAUGGAUGCUUUUUAAUGACAUUGAUUCUCUUAUUUUGCAGCUCAAGGAAGUUUCUUUCCAGCACACUCUUAGAGAAGGAAACUCCUUCGCUGAUUCUCUUGCAAAAUAUGGAGUUGAUAAAGAGUCUAUGUUCUCUGCUUGGUGGUAGUUUGCCUUUGUUUUCUUUUGCUGUUUUUAUGGCUUAUCCUUUUCCUCACAUGAAGCUGGUUUGGAUUUUUUGUUUUUUCCUUCUUCCUCACUUAAUGUCAUAGAGGUUUUAGGUUGAACUGUGUUUGUGUUCAUGAUUAUUGUCCUGAUUUUUAACAUCAUGGGUUAUCUGAACUGAUUGUUUGGAGCUGCUAUCCUUCAGUUUGUGUCCUUAGGUCAGAUUGUCAAGGUCUGUACUGCCAGUUUGCAUUUUGUACAUGAUGUCAAGGUGUCUUAUGUUCUGUUCAAACGGACAAACUCUGGUCCUUUUUUUGUA
rnacentral:sRNA from 1 species